rnacentral:rRNA from 1 species
GGUUAAGCGACUAAGCGUACACGGUGGAUGCCCUGGCAGUCAGAGGCGAUGAAGGGCGUGCUAAUCUGCGAUAAGCGCCGGUAAGGUGAUAUGAACCGUUAUAACCGGCGAUACCCGAAUGGGGAAACCCAGUGUGAUUCGUCACACUAUCAUUAACUGAAUCCAUAGGUUAAUGAGGCGAACCGGGGGAACUGAAACAUCUAAGUACCCCGAGGAAAAGAAAUCAACCGAGAUUCCCCCAGUAGCGGCGAGCGAACGGGGAGGAGCCCAGAGCCUGAAUCAGCAUGUGUGUUAGUGGAAGCGUCUGGAAAGGCGCGCGAUACAGGGUGACAGCCCCGUACACAAAAGCGCAUGUGCUGUGAGCUCGAUGAGUAGGGCGGGACACGUGGUAUCCUGUCUGAAUAUGGGGGGACCAUCCUCCAAGGCUAAAUACUCCUGACUGACCGAUAGUGAACCAGUACCGUGAGGGAAAGGCGAAAAGAACCCCGGCGAGGGGAGUGAAAAAGAACCUGAAACCGUGUACGUACAAGCAGUGGGAGCACAGGUUUACCUGUGUGACUGCGUACCUUUUGUAUAAUGGGUCAGCGACUUAUAUUCUGUAGCAAGGUUAACCGUAUAGGGGAGCCGGAGGGAAACCGAGUCUUAACCGGGCGUUAAGUUGCAGGGUAUAGACCCGAAACCCGGUGAUCUAGCCAUGGGCAGGUUGAAGGUUGGGUAACACUAACUGGAGGACCGAACCGACUAAUGUUGAAAAAUUAGCGGAUGACCUGUGGCUGGGGGUGAAAGGCCAAUCAAACCGGGAGAUAGCUGGUUCUCCCCGAAAGCUAUUUAGGUAGCGCCUCGUGAAUUCAUCUCCGGGGGUAGAGCACUGUUUCGGCUAGGGGGCCAUCCCGGCUUACCAACCCGAUGCAAACUGCGAAUACCGGAGAAUGUUAUCACGGGAGACACACGGCGGGUGCUAACGUCCGUCGUGAAGAGGGAAACAACCCAGACCGCCAGCUAAGGUCCCAAAGUCAUGGUUAAGUGGGAAACGAUGUGGGAAGGCCCAGACAGCCAGGAUGUUGGCUUAGAAGCAGCCAUCAUUUAAAGAAAGCGUAAUAGCUCACUGGUCGAGUCGGCCUGCGCGGAAGAUGUAACGGGGCUAAACCAUGCACCGAAGCUGCGGCAGCGACGCUGAUGCGUUGUUGGGUAGGGGAGCGUUCUGUAAGCCUGCGAAGGUGGCCUGUGAGGGUUGCUGGAGGUAUCAGAAGUGCGAAUGCUGACAUAAGUAACGAUAAAGCGGGUGAAAAGCCCGCUCGCCGGAAGACCAAGGGUUCCUGUCCAACGUUAAUCGGGGCAGGGUGAGUCGACCCCUAAGGCGAGGCCGAAAGGCGUAGUCGAUGGGAAACGGGUUAAUAUUCCCGUACUUGGUGUUACUGCGAAGGGGGGACGGAGAAGGCUAUGUUGGCCGGGCGACGGUUGUCCCGGUUUAAGCGUGUAGGUGUGUGUUCCAGGUAAAUCCGGUUCACUUUAACACUGAGGCGUGACGACGAGGCACUACGGUGCUGAAGCAACAAAUGCCCUGCUUCCAGGAAAAGCCUCUAAGCAUCAGGUAACAUCAAAUCGUACCCCAAACCGACACAGGUGGUCAGGUAGAGAAUACCAAGGCGCUUGAGAGAACUCGGGUGAAGGAACUAGGCAAAAUGGUGCCGUAACUUCGGGAGAAGGCACGCUGACAUGUAGGUGAAGUGAUUUACUCAUGGAGCUGAAGUCAGUCGAAGAUACCAGCUGGCUGCAACUGUUUAUUAAAAACACAGCACUGUGCAAACACGAAAGUGGACGUAUACGGUGUGACGCCUGCCCGGUGCCGGAAGGUUAAUUGAUGGGGUCAGCGCAAGCGAAGCUCCUGAUCGAAGCCCCGGUAAACGGCGGCCGUAACUAUAACGGUCCUAAGGUAGCGAAAUUCCUUGUCGGGUAAGUUCCGACCUGCACGAAUGGCGUAAUGAUGGCCAGGCUGUCUCCACCCGAGACUCAGUGAAAUUGAACUCGCUGUGAAGAUGCAGUGUACCCGCGGCAAGACGGAAAGACCCCGUGAACCUUUACUAUAGCUUGACACUGAACAUUGAGCCUUGAUGUGUAGGAUAGGUGGGAGGCUUUGAAGUGUGGACGCCAGUCUGCAUGGAGCCGACCUUGAAAUACCACCCUUUAAUGUUUGAUGUUCUAACGUGGACCCGUAAUCCGGGUUGCGGACAGUGUCUGGUGGGUAGUUUGACUGGGGCGGUCUCCUCCUAAAGAGUAACGGAGGAGCACGAAGGUUGGCUAAUCCUGGUCGGACAUCAGGAGGUUAGUGCAAUGGCAUAAGCCAGCUUGACUGCGAGCGUGACGGCGCGAGCAGGUGCGAAAGCAGGUCAUAGUGAUCCGGUGGUUCUGAAUGGAAGGGCCAUCGCUCAACGGAUAAAAGGUACUCCGGGGAUAACAGGCUGAUACCGCCCAAGAGUUCAUAUCGACGGCGGUGUUUGGCACCUCGAUGUCGGCUCAUCACAUCCUGGGGCUGAAGUAGGUCCCAAGGGUAUGGCUGUUCGCCAUUUAAAGUGGUACGCGAGCUGGGUUUAGAACGUCGUGAGACAGUUCGGUCCCUAUCUGCCGUGGGCGCUGGAGAACUGAGGGGGGCUGCUCCUAGUACGAGAGGACCGGAGUGGACGCAUCACUGGUGUUCGGGUUGUCAUGCCAAUGGCACUGCCCGGUAGCUAAAUGCGGAAGAGAUAAGUGCUGAAAGCAUCUAAGCACGAAACUUGCCCCGAGAUGAGUUCUCCCUGAGACUUAGAGUCUCCUGAAGGAACGUUGAAGACGACGACGUUGAUAGGCCGGGUGUGUAAGCGCAGCGAUGCGUUGAGCUAACCGGUACUAAUGAACCGUGAGGCUUAACCUU